rnacentral:rRNA from 1 species
UUAGGAAUCUUCCACAAUGGGCGAAAGCCUGAUGGAGCGACGCCGCGUGAGGGAUGAAGGCCUUAGGGUUGUAAACCUCUAAAAGAGGGACGAUAAUGACGGUACCUCUUGAAUAGCACCGGCUAACUCCGUGCCAGCAGCCGCGGUAAUACGGAGGGUGCAAGCGUUAUCCGGAAUCACUGGGCGUAAAGGGCGCGUAGGCGGUCUGUUAAGUCCGAUGUUAAAUCCCGGGGCUCAACCCCGGAUAAGCGUUGGAUACUGGCAGGCUAGACGGUUGGAGAGNGGAGUGGAAUUACCAGUGUAGCGGUGGAAUGCGUAGAUACUGGUAGGAACACCCAUUGCGAAGGCAGCUCGCUGGACAACACGUGACGCUGAGGCGCGAAAGUGUGG